GACGAACGCUGGCGGUGUGCUUAACACAUGCAAGUCGAACGGAAAGGCCCUGCUUUUGUGGGGUGCUCGAGUGGCGAACGGGUGAGUAACACGUGAGUAACCUGCCCUUGACUUUGGGAUAACUUCAGGAAACUGGGGCUAAUACCGGAUAGGAGCUCCUGCUGCAUGGUGGGGGUUGGAAAGUUUCGGCGGUUGGGGAUGGACUCGCGGCUUAUCAGCUUGUUGGUGGGGUAGUGGCUUACCAAGGCUUUGACGGGUAGCCGGCCUGAGAGGGUGACCGGCCACAUUGGGACUGAGAUACGGCCCAGACUCCUACGGGAGGCAGCAGUGGGGAAUAUUGCACAAUGGGCGGAAGCCUGAUGCAGCAACGCCGCGUGCGGGAUGACGGCCUUCGGGUUGUAAACCGCUUUCGCCUGUGACGAAGCGUGAGUGGCGGUAAUGGGUAAAGAAGCACCGGCUAACUACGUG
rnacentral:rRNA from 1 species